rnacentral:ribozyme from 1 species
GCAGAGUGGAAGAUGGAGUUAGAAGGCAAAAACUCUUAUGAGGCCUCUUUAAGUGAGGUUUUGGGAGCAUGUAAGGCUGCAACAGAACACGGCCCUAACUGGUACAAAGCCUGGCAUGCCUGGGGCAUCAACAAUUUUGAAGCUGUUACAUUUUAUG